rnacentral:sRNA from 1 species
AUUUUGUCAUAAACAGUCAGACAUCAAUGUACUUUUAGUGGUUUUGGCGAGAUGAAUGUGACGUCAAGCGAAUGCUACAAGUGUAACAAGAUGGUGCCUAUCAAACAUAUGCUCAGACCAAGGCGUAACAGAGGAAGAAAGACUACCGCGCCUCACUCAUGUAAUGGUGUGGACUGUUUUAGCAAGGAUUGUACAAGGCACAGAGAUAAGUCUGAGAAAGGCGAUGGCUGUGAUGAUGACGGUAAGAC